rnacentral:rRNA from 1 species
UCGAACGGCACCCCUCUCCGGAGGGAAGCGAGUGGCGAACGGCUGAGUAACACGUGGAGAACCUCGCCCCCUCCCCCGGGAUAGCCGCCCGAAAGGACGGGUAAUACCGGAUACCCCCGGGCGCCGCAUGGCGCCCGGGCUAAAGCCCCGACGGGAGGGGAUGGCUCCGCGGCCCAUCAGGUAGACGGCGGGGUGACGGCCCACCGUGCCGACAACGGGUAGCCGGGUUGAGAGACCGACCGGCCAGAUUGGGACUGAGACACGGCCCAGACUCCUACGGGAGGCAGCAUG